CCUCGCGAUGAAUAGAGCUGGGGUAGAAAUACAAUCCUGUACUAUUGCUAAAAGCCAGAAGAGCUGACUCUUUUAUUCCAAGGGGAAGUUUGGGGGUGUUCUUACCCUUGGUCCUAUGUAUACUCUCAUGAGUGAUAGAUCAGGAUGAAGACUUUCAGAUAUGGAGUCUUGCUCUGUUGUCAGGCUGGAGUACAGUGGCAUGAUCUUGGCUCGCGGCAACCUCCACCUCUCAGUUCAAGCAAUUCUCCUGUCUCAGCCUCCGGAGUAGCCAGGAUUACAGGUCCUAAGAAUGGAAUUCAGGAGUGGACAAGACAUAACUUUUGCCAUGAAGCAUCUCAUCACACAGUAGUUUGCUGAGAAUUAUGGUUUCCAGUUUCACCCAUGUACCUGCAAAGGGCAUGAACUCAUCCUUUUUUAUGGCCACAUAGUAUUCCAUGGUGUAUAUGUGCCACAUUUUCUUUAUCCAGUCUAUCUUUGAUGGGCGUCUGGGUUGGUUCCAAGUCUUUGCUAUUGUGAACAGUGCUGUAAUAAACAUACGUGUGCAU
rnacentral:lncRNA from 13 species